AAGGCAACUAUAAUUUUGUCAAUUCAGUACAUAUACAAAACCUUUUCAGCAUGCACAAAGCAAUGAUACACACUAUCCCGGGAAACCUCAAUCAGAUCAUCUUGUGUGCUUGCUAAACGUCACAACCAUGCAAGUAAUAUGUGUUCCUUGAUAACAACAGAAACAUAUCAGGUGAUGGUAUCAUAACUUUUUUAAAGCAACUCUAG
rnacentral:lncRNA from 1 species